GCUGUAGCUCAGCGCAAGAGCACCUGCUUGGAAUGCAGAAGGUCCCAGGUUCAAUACCAGGCAUCUCCA
rnacentral:tRNA from 1 species